GACGAACGCUGGCGGCGUGCUUAACACAUGCAAGUCGAACGGUGAAGGGACUGGUUUUGCUGGUCCUGGAUGAGUGGCGAACGGGUGAGUAACACGUGAGUAACCUGCCCCCUUCUUCUGGAUAACCGCAUGAAAGUGUGGCUAAUACGGGAUAUUCUGGGUCUGUCGCAUGGUGGGCCUGGGAAAGAUUGCGCCUUUUUUGGUGUUUUUGGUGGGGGAUGGGCUCGCGGCCUAUCAGCUUGUUGGUGGGGUGAUGGCCUACCAAGGCGGUGACGGGUAGCCGGCCUGAGAGGGUGGACGGUCACACUGGGACAGAGACACGGCCCAGACUCCUACGGGAGGCAGCAGUGGGGAAUAUUGCACAAUGGGCGCAAGCCUGAUGCAGCGACGCCGCGUGAGGGAUGGAGGCCUUCGGGUUGUGAACCUCUUUCGCCAGUGAAGCAGGCCUGCCUCUUUUUGUGGGUGGGUUGACGGUAGCUGGAGAAGAAGCGCCGGCUAACUACGUG
rnacentral:rRNA from 1 species